rnacentral:lncRNA from 1 species
UCCCGAGUGCUGGGAUUAAAGGCGGCGCCACCACGGCCUGGCGAUCAGCCCUUUUUUGUUUUUUAAGAUGUACUUAUUUUCUGUGUGUGAGUGUUUUGCCUGCAUGUGUUUAUGUACACGGUGUGUGUGUCUGGUGCCUGAGACAGUCAGAAGAGGGCUUCGGAUCCCCCAGAACUGGAGUUACAAAUGGUUGUGAGGCACCGUAUGGGUGCUGGCAACAAAACCCAGGUCUUCUGCAAGAGCAAAUACAUGUGAACAUCUAAAGUUGAAAGUAAAAACUAUGAGCCGCUCCACAUAUUUAAAUGUGGACCCCUAGGGGACAGGUGGCACAUACAUUCAGUCCCAGCACUUAGGAAAGCAGAAGCAGGCGGAUGUCUGAGUGCACGAACACCCAGGGCUACACAGUCUUGAAACAAAAACAAGGUAUAGGCUCCUCUAUAACACUCCAUGCUCCUCCUUGGGCUGCUUUGCAGAGCAUGGGUGCUCCUGCGCACCAGACGUGCUUCCUUGGAGUGGAGGGUGGAUGUGCACCAGGGCUCUGGCUGGAUUGGGCUGCAUGAUAGGGUGUAGCAAAUGGAGCAAGCCCCCCUGAAGUGGGUCUCAGGCCCCAGGGCCUGUCAGUGAUUUCUUGGACAGCCACUGCAAGAGGCAGCUCUCUGAUGUGAUGAGCUCGCUGCUCUUGUAUUGAACUCAGCGUGUGCCAGGCUCUUGACGGGCACCCUGCAUUCCCAGUCUCCCUUGUCUGUGCAGGAGACCUGUAUAUAGAUCAUGAAUAAGUGAACAGGAGGCUUAAGUGGGCAGCUCUGAUUGUGUCUGGCCUCUCAGGUGUGUCCUGGCUUUAUCCUAGAUCUUGGUCUUGCAGACUCUUUCUAGGGAGUGAGUAGGUAGUAUAGUGUCUGGGCUGUUGUCACUUCUCACAGAGUGGGAGCCAGCCCUGCCUACUUCGAGUUCCCAGGUCCUAGGAAGACUGCCACGGCUCUCUCGCUCUGUUAGUUUAUCAAAGAAGAGAGAGAGAGACUGAGAUCUGGUGUGCUUGUCAGUCUAGUGACUCCUUCCUGGGAGAUGGUAUUUGUUAGCGCCCAGCAAAUUAGCCUUUUAAGGGUGACCCUGGACAGAUAGGGUCCAUCUCUUCCAGAAUCAUCAUAAGCCUUCUGUUAGGAGAGGAGUAUAAGGACCAUCGCUGUCCCUUUGAUGCUCCAAAGUCUCUUUAGGUUUCUCAGUCUCAUGAAGGACAAUGGUGUACGCUUUGCCAGAGCAAGUUCUGGUUGACCUGUAUCAAUAGGAAAGACAUGUCCCAGCUGAGGACAGAGGCAGGAGGAGUGUGAGUUUGAAGCCAGGUGGGAUCGGGGAGGGGGGUGAGCAGGGGAGGUAUUCAUCAUAGUGUCCCAUUCCUCUGCAGCUCAGGUUAGGGCGGUGGAAGGGCGAGGGGCAUCCCUGUCUGGAGAGAGCUGAAUUUAAGCUUUGGGUGUUAGUAUUGGUGUGAAGGACAACACAGAUGAGAGCUGUUUCUCACUGCAGACCCUUAGUUAAAAGUGUUCACAGAC